GCAUCGAUGGUUCAGUGGUAAAAUGCUCGCCUGCCACGCGGGCGGCCCAGGUUCGAUUCCCGGCCGAUGCA
rnacentral:tRNA from 1 species